AUACGGAGGGUGCAAGCGUUAAUCGGAAUUACUGGGCGUAAAGCGUACGUAGGCGGUUCGUUAAGUUAGAUGUGAAAGCCCCGGGCUUAACCUGGGAACUGCAUUUAAAACUGGCGGACUAGAGUUGAGUAGAGGGGAGUGGAAUUUCAGGUGUAGCGGUGAAAUGCGUUGAGAUCUGAAGGAACACCAGUGGCGAAGGCGACUCCCUGGACUCGAACUGACGCUGAGGUACGAAAGCGUGGGUAGCAAACGGGAGUAGAAACCCUAGUAGUCC
rnacentral:rRNA from 1 species